GGAUCAAUAGUUUUUGGAAUAUUCUAUUUACAAUAGAGAGGUGAUUUUGGUUCU
rnacentral:tRNA from 1 species